AUUAGAUUCUGCCUCGGUCAACUUAUGACAGUAAAAGGCUAUGGGUUGCAAUUGUCCAGUUGAACUGUCUCUCUGUAAUAAUACUGCCCAAAUAACCGAGUUAGAUGCAUCAACUUCCAGGAAGUAAGAUUUUUCUGUAUCAGGUAAAUGAAGGAUAGUUGCAGUGGGGAAUAGGACCUUUAGAUCAUCAAAUGCUUUCUGUUCUUUUGGAGUCCAGUUCC